ACACAAAAUCUGGAUAUUUGCUGGCCCAGAGCCCGCACCCCUCCUGUACGCCGCCGCCGCUCAAUCCCUGCCCGCAGUCCCCGCAGCCGCCGCUCCAUCCCCGGCUGCCGCGACGUCCGCUGCGUCGCCCCCGGCGUCACCGAUCCGCGCUGCCUCCUCUGCCCCCGCCUCCUCCGCCACUACACCACGAUCUGCUCUGCCCCAAAAUGCUCCGGCCCGAUCUGCUCCGCCCAAACCCAUCCGGUCGCCUACAACUCCAAGAGUGCCGCGAGGUCGUCCUACCUGCCUCCGCAUCCCUAAGCCCUCUCCCACGAGCGGAUCCCGACGCCCACGCCGCCCUCGCUGCGGUCCGGGGACCCGCCGCCGCAGGUGCAGGAGGCCGCCGCUAGGGUGCGAGUGCAGGGGGCUGCUGCCGCCGCCGGUCCAGGGGCCGACCCAACGCCGCAGCAGGACCACGCAGCUACAAGAUCAAAUUGACGCCGACAACAACGACAUGAAGGUCAAGGGCGCACGGAGGUGGUGACAACGGGCCACGUGCUCCUUGAGAAGUUCAGGCACACCGUUCACUUCCUGAUGAUCACCAUGUACUUCUACCUCAGUGAACAUCUUGCUGCACGCAGGGUGUUCGAUGGAAUUCCCCACCGGAAUGUCUUCUAAUGGAACUCUAUGAUGAAGGCAUACGAGCAGGAAAGGAUGAUGGAUGAGGUGGAAGGGAUGUUCCGGCCGGUUGAUGGUUUCAGAGGGUGGCAGUGGCGCACAACGGGGUGGCAGUGGCAGUUGUGCUCACAUUGUGCAGGGAUGCCAGCAAUAUGGUUAUAGGGGUGUUCUCUCUUUUCCUCCUCCAAUUGACAGCUCAGAAAAUCAUUCCAAGUGUUACUUCAAUCGAUAUUGAGAUUUCAAGAGGAUAAAAAAAAACUGAAGUUUUGGCUCCUGGAUUGUGUACUUAUUGAAAGGUAUGAUCUCACUGAACCUGGCGCCAAAGGGUUUUCUUACUUUCUUUAGCUCAUCCUAGAUUUUUUUUGUCAAGAUUAUGAAGAUUGUAAUGUCUGAUGAUAAUCAUGUUUUUUUCCUCCUAUUAUCAUAUGGAAAUUUUUUGAAACCCAUGGCAACGCACGGACUUGGGUGCAGUGAUGCAAACUUUAGUUUCUGCAAUAUGACCGAAUUGGAGAUGUAUGCCAACUCAGAACAUCUUGUCUCUGCUUGUAGGUCAGAUUUGGAUAUUACUUCUGAAUUUGGAUUUUAUCACUUCACUUCUGAAUUUCAAUUUAAAUGGCUGAUCUCAUGUGGUCGGUGGAGAUGGAAAUCAUUUAUACUCCAAACCUAUUGGACACUACGCAUUGGUGAUUGAAGCCUCUAGGUUGAUUCCGUUUCGUGAGUUGAAAGAGGGUGUCAAGCUGCAAUAUGAUGAAUAGGGUCUAUAGCAUGUGAUCUCUUCUGAGUUUUGCUGAAGAAUGGACGGCUCAAUCUGAAUUGACUCUAAAGCUCAAGCAUCAGAAGCAAGUUUGUACGCCUUCAUUCAUGGUGAAGAUUGCUGCUUGAUGUUUGAAAGUUUGCAAUCGCCGGAGCUCAGUACCGGUGCAGCACGCUGGAAACAAAACUGGAAGUAGCAAUAGCCACAUAUCAUCCAUCUUGAUCAGACUGGCUCAUAUUCUAUCUUGUACAAAGUCCAUUUUGAUACAAAUCUUUGCUAGAGUUCUUUUAUCCUUUGGGAUUAGGUGAACCGAUUAAUCUUCAUUAUUUUUUUUAACUUCAACUUGGCCCUAUUUUAACUCUGGAGAAUUUUGAUGCGAAGUUGUAGAGCUGUUUAGGUGUGUGGUUGUAAAAGUUUUUAAAAUAUUGUUAUUUUCUGUAUUUGAUGCCCAUUGCAAUACAAAAUAUGUUAAUAUAA